CCUACGGGUGGCAGCAGUGGGGAAUAUUGCACAAUGGGGGCAACCCUGAUGCAGCGACGCCGCGUGAGUGAAGACGUCACUCGUUAUGUUAAGCUCCAUCAGCAGGGAAGAAAAUGACGGUACCUGAGUAAGAAUCCCCGGCUAACUACGUGCCAGCAGCCGCGGUAAUAAGUAGGGGGCAGGCGUUAUCCGGAUUUACUGGGUGUAAAGGGAGCGUAGACGGCAGUGCAAGUCUGGAGUGAAAGGCGGGGGCUCAACCGCCGGACGGCUGUGGAAACUGUACGGCUGGAGUGCAGGAGAGGUAAGCGGAAUUCGUGGUGUAGCGGUGAAAUGCUUAGAUAUUAGGAGGAACACCAGUGGCGAAGGCAGCUUACUGGAGUGUUACUGACGUUGAGGCUCGAAAGCGUGGGGAGCGAACAGGAUUAGAUACCCCAGUAGUC
rnacentral:rRNA from 1 species